rnacentral:rRNA from 1 species
GGCGAACGCUGGCGGCGUGCUUAACACAUGCCAGUCGAACGGAAAGGCCCUGCUUUUGUGGGGUGCUCGAGUGGCGAACGGGUGAGUAACACGUAAGUAACCUGCCCUUGACUUUGGGAUAACUUCAGGAAACUGGGGCUAAUACCGGAUAGGAGCUCCUGCUGCAUGGUGGGGGUUGGAAAGUUUCGGCGGUUGGGGAUGGACUCGCGGCUUAUCAGCUUGUUGGUGGGGUAGUGGCUUACCAAGGCUUUGACGGGUAGCCGGCCUGAGAGGGUGACCGGCCACAUUGGGACUGAGAUACGGCCCAGACUCCUACGGGAGGCAGCAGUGGGGAAUAUUGCACAAUGGGCGGAAGCCUGAUGCAGCAACGCCGCGUGCGGGAUGACGGCCUUCGGGUUGUAAACCGCUUUCGCCUGUGACGAAGCGUGAGUGAUGGUAAUGGGUAAAGAAGCACCGGCUAACUACGUG